rnacentral:rRNA from 1 species
CGGAGGGAGGCCUACCAUGCAGUCGAGCGGUAGCACAGAGAGCUUGCUCUCGGGUGACGAGCGGCGGACGGGUGAGUAAUGUCUGGGAAACUGCCUGAUGGAGGGGGAUAACUACUGGAAACGGUAGCUAAUACCGCAUAACGUCGCAAGACCAAAGUGGGGGACCUUCGGGCCUCAUGCCAUCAGAUGUGCCCAGAUGGGAUUAGCUAGUAGGUGGGGUAACGGCUCACCUAGGCGACGAUCCCUAGCUGGUCUGAGAGGAUGACCAGCCACACUGGAACUGAGACACGGUCCAGACUCCUACGGGAGGCAGCAGUGGGGAAUAUUGCACAAUGGGCGCAAGCCUGAUGCAGCCAUGCCGCGUGUGUGAAGAAGGCCUUCGGGUUGUAAAGCACUUUCAGCGGGGAGGAAGGSGAUAAGGUUAAUAACCUUGUCGAUUGACGUUACCCGCAGAAGAAGCACCGGCUAACUCCGUGCCAGCAGCCGCGGUAAUACGGAGGGUGCAAGCGUUAAUCGGAAUUACUGGGCGUAAAGCGCACGCAGGCGGUCUGUCAAGUCGGAUGUGAAAUCCCCGGGCUCAACCUGGGAACUGCAUUCGAAACUGGCAGGCUAGAGUCUUGUAGAGGGGGGUAGAAUUCCAGGUGUAGCGGUGAAAUGCGUAGAGAUCUGGAGGAAUACCGGUGGCGAAGGCGGCCCCCUGGACAAAGACUGACGCUCAGGUGCGAAAGCGUGGGGAGCAAACAGGAUUAGAUACCCUGGUAGUCCACGCCGUAAACGAUGUCGAUUUGGAGGUUGUGCCCUUGAGGCGUGGCUUCCGGAGCUAACGCGUUAAAUCGACCGCCUGGGGAGUACGGCCGCAAGGUUAAAACUCAAAUGAAUUGACGGGGGCCCGCACAAGCGGUGGAGCAUGUGGUUUAAUUCGAUGCAACGCGAAGAACCUUACCUGGUCUUGACAUCCACAGAACUUUCCAGAGAUGGAUUGGUGCCUUCGGGAACUGUGAGACAGGUGCUGCAUGGCUGUCGUCAGCUCCGUGUUGUGAAAWGUUGGGUUAAGUCCCGCAACGAGCGCAAMCCUUAUCCUUUGUUGCCAGCGGUUAGGCCGGGAACUCAAAGGAGACUGCCAGUGAUAAACUGGAGGAAGGUGGGGAUGACGUCAAGUCAUCAUGGCCCUUACGACCAGGGCUACACACGUGCUACAAUGGCAUAUACAAAGAGAAGCGACCUCGCGAGAGCAAGCGGACCUCAUAAAGUAUGUCGUAGUCCGGAUUGGAGUCUGCAACUCGACUCCAUGAAGUCGGAAUCGCUAGUAAUCGUAGAUCAGAAUGCUACGGUGAAUACGUUCCCGGGCCUUGUACACACCGCCCGUCACACCAUGGGAGUGGGUUGCAAAAGAAGUAGGUAGCUUAACCUUCGGGAGGGCGCUUACCACUUUGUA